rnacentral:rRNA from 1 species
GAUGAACGCUGGCGGCGUGCCUAAUACAUGCAAGUCGAGCGAACGGACGAGAAGCUUGCUUUUCUGAUGUUAGCGGCGGACGGGUGAGUAACACGUGGAUAACCUACCUAUAAGACUGGGAUAACUUCGGGAAACCGGAGCUAAUACCGGAUAAUAUUUUGAACCGCAUGGUUCAAAAGUGAAAGACGGUCUUGCUGUCACUUAUAGAUGGAUCCGCGCUGCAUUAGCUAGUUGGUAAGGUAACGGCUUACCAAGGCAACGAUGCAUAGCCGACCUGAGAGGGUGAUCGGCCACACUGGAACUGAGACACGGUCCAGACUCCCACGGGAGGCAGCAGUAGGGAAUCUUCCGCAAUGGGCGAAAGCCUGACGGAGCAACGCCGCGUGAGUGAUGAAGGUCUUCGGAUCGUAAAACUCUGUUAUUAGGGAAGAACAUAUGUGUAAGUAACUGUGCACAUCUUGACGGUACCUAAUCAGAAAGCCACGGCUAACUACGUG